AACGAACGCUGGCGGCAGGCCUAACACAUGCAAGUCGAACGCCGUAGCGAUACGGAGUGGCAGACGGGUGAGUAACGCGUGGGAACAUACCCCUCGGUUCGGAAUAACUCAGGGAAACUUGAGCUAAUACCGGAUAAGUCCGAGGUUUUAAUCGACCUUGGAGAAAGAUUUAUCGCCGGAGGAUUGGCCCGCGUCUGAUUAGCUUGUUGGUGAGGUAAUGGCUCACCAAGGCGACGANCAGUAGCUGGUCUGAGAGGAUGAUCAGCCACAUUGGGACUGAGACACGGCCCAAACUCCUACGGGAGGCAGCAGUGGGGAAUAUUGGACAAUGGGCGAAAGCCUGAUCCAGCCAUGCCGCGUGAGUGAUGAAGGCCUUAGGGUUGUAAAGCUCUUUACCCGGGAAGAUAAUGACGGUACCGGGGAAGUAACGCCCCGGCUAACUUCGUGCCAGCAGCCGCCGUAA
rnacentral:rRNA from 1 species